UAUGUGUGUAGGUAGGGAACUGUGAGGUAUGUCCUAAUUAUGUACGUAUAUAUGUGUGUAGGUAGGGAACUGUGAGGUAUGUCCUAAUUAUGUACGUAUAUAUGUGUGUAGGUAGGGAACUGUGAGGUAUGUCCUAAUUAUGUACGUAUAUAUGUGUGUAGGUAGGGAACUGUGAGGUAUGUCC